rnacentral:rRNA from 1 species
CUGACUCAGGGAGGUAGUGACAAAAAAUAACUUAGUCGAGCCGUUUUCGGUUUGACUUUAGGAAUGAGAACAAUUUAAAUCCCUUAUCGAGGAUCAAUUGGAGGGCAAGUCUGGUGCCAGCAGCCGCGGUAAUUCCAGCUCCAAUAGCGUAUAUUAAUGUUGUUGCAGUUAAAAAGCUCGUAGUUGGAUUUCUGGUCAAAACACCUGGCCGGCUCCGCAAGGGGUCGUUGCAUUGGUUGUCUUUGUCCAUCCUCAGGUUGACUAGCUCUGGUAUUUAUUUAUCGGUGUUAGAGACACCUGUCGUUUACUGUGAACAAAUUAGAGUGUUCAAAGCAAGGUUUACUUGAAUACAUUAGCAUGGAAUAAUAAGAUAGGACUUUGG